AUCACUCCUCUUUGAACUGGAGGCCCAAGAAAAUGCUCUCGAUUCGUGUGUGCAGAACCAGCCUUGCCCCCGGGGGAAAGAUGAUUCUUUCGGUAGCCUGAGAAGCAACGUUUUCUGUAAGGAGUUCUUAGACAAUGAAGUACAGACUUGUCAACAGUGUGUAAGAAAGCAGCCAUUUCUAAUAGACAAGAAAAUGCAAACAUGCACUAAGUCAUAAUGUUCGGAGACUUGGUCUUUAGAGGUCAGCAGCAAUAUGGGAAAUUAUGCUGUCUUUUUUGAAACCAAGUUUCACAGGGGCCUUGAACUCAUAGUCCUGCCUCUGCUUCCUGAGGCCUGGGCUUAUAGGUACCAAUGUUAAUUAUGUACGCAUUUCAUUUUAACAUAGACAUUGGAUGGAGGAAAAGAAGGAGUCCUAUAUGCUGGAAAUCUGCACUUUUUAGUGCCUGCUAUCCUGGAAUUGUGAACCAAAGUAAACAUUCCCUUCCUUCGCUUGCUUUUCUUGGGAUUGUUUGUCACAGUAACGGAGAUGAGGAGUAAGGUACAAACUGAUACACAGAGAUGUCAUCAUUUUCACGCUCCAGCCAAUCUCGGAUUUUCAUUGCAUUCUAUUCUGAGUCCUUUCAGAGCGAUGAACUUCCAAAAAUCUAACCGAGCACGUAUGUAACAAUGUGACUUAAAAUAUACCCCUGAAAAGCUUG
rnacentral:lncRNA from 1 species